AUCGAACGCUGGCGGCAUGCUUUACACAUGCAAGUCGAACGGCAGCGCGGGCCUUGGCCUGGCGGCGAGUGGCGCAAGGGUGAGUAAUGCAUCGGAAUGUGCCCCGCAGUGGGGGAUAGUCCGGCGAAAGACGGAUUAAUACUGCAUACGACCUGCGGGUGCUAGCGGGGGGCGGUAAGGCCUCGCGCUAUUGGAGCGGCCGACGCCGGACUAGCUAGCUGGUGGGGUAAAGGCUUACCAAGCAGACGAUUCGUAGCUGGUCUGCGUGGACGACCGGCCACACUGGGACUGGGACACGGCCCAGGCUACUACGAGAGGCAGCAGUGGGGAAUUGUGGGCAGUGGGGGCAACCCUGAUCCAGUCAGGGCGCGUGCGAGAAGGAGGCGCUCGGGUUGUAAACCGGUUUUGUUCGUGAAGAACUCCUCUGGGCUAAUACGCCGGGGGGGUGACGGUACCGGAUGAAUAAGCACCGGCUAACUACGUG
rnacentral:rRNA from 1 species